AUCCUGGGGUGUUCGAGAAUCCUGUUUUUUUGAACCUACAUGACAUAAAAAGGGAUUCCUAGAUUGCUGUAUGGAUGUCAGGCCUCCUCUGAGUGGAAGACAGAAGUCCAGUUGCGGUUGCCCACCUAGCACAGCUAGGCGUCAAACUGCAGGAGACGGCACCUUGGGAU
rnacentral:other from 1 species